CUCCAAGAUGGCAUCAGUCGUACCAGUGAAGGAGAAGAAGCUCAUGGAUGUGAAACUAGGAGAGCUGCCCAGCUGGAUACUGAUGUGGGAUUUCACCCCUAAGGGCAUUGCUGGAGCAUUUCAAAGAGGUUACUACCGGUAUAACAACAAGUAUGUCAAUGUGAAGAAAGGGGGCGUUGCUGAGAUUUCUAUGGUGCUAGCAGCUUAUGUGCUUUUCAACUACUGUCCUUGUUACAAGGAACUCAGACAGGAGCGGCUACGCAAGUACCACUGAAGAGGGCCCAGUGUGGAGGCACAUUCCGCAUUCCUGACCAUGACCUUUGCCUGGCACCCUUGAAUCCUUUCAUAUUCUAAUUCAGAAUUAACAUCCAAUAAAAGAUGACUGGUAAAAAA